GCGUUGUCCGGAGUUACUGGGCGUAAAGGGCAUGCAGGCGGUCGGACGCGUUUUGUGUGACAGCGGAUGGCUUAACUAUCCGAGGAUGCGAAAGACGGUUUGACUUGAGGGCUCGAGAGGGACACGGAAUUCCGGGUGGAGUGGUGAAAUGCGUAGAGAUCCGGAGGAACACCGAAGGCGAAGGCAGUGUCCUGGCGAGUGACUGACGCUGAGGUGCGAAAGCCAG
rnacentral:rRNA from 1 species